rnacentral:rRNA from 1 species
UACGUAGGGUGCAAGCGUUAAUCGGAAUUACUGGGCGUAAAGCGUGCGCAGGCGGCUAUGCAAGACAGAUGUGAAAUCCCCGGGCUCAACCUGGGAACUGCAUUUGUGACUGCAUGGCUAGAGUACGGUAGAGGGGGGAUGGAAUUCCGGCGUGUAGCAGUGAAAUGCGUAGAUAUGCGGAGGAACACCGAUGGCGAAGGCAAUCCCCUGGACCUGUACUGACGCUCAUGCACGAAAGCGUGGGGAGCAAACAGG